rnacentral:lncRNA from 1 species
UAACUCCUCCAUCAGCCACACCGGCGCCUUCUCCGGUUGUUUUACCUCCAUCUCCAACUCCGACGCCAAACAGAGCACCAUCGCCUUCACCGACUCCGGUAUCGCCCUCACCCGCUCCGGAUGCUGCGUCACCCGCUCCAGCGCCUAUUGCUCCUACUCCAACUCCAAUCUCUACUCCUACUCCAACUCCAAUCUCUACUCCUACUCCUUCCGGUGGUCCUGUCCUUCCACCCAUUGCUUCUCCUCCUUCACCCACUGGAAUGGAGGUGCCUUCACCAGCACCCCAAGGCCCGGCGGCCGAUAACCCAGCUGGAGCGGGGUCGCACAUCGGCGGAGCAGCGACGUUGGGGAUCGCUUUGGCUGGUACUCUGUUUGGAGUGAUUUUAUCGUAGACGUUGAUGCGUUGGGUCAAUUUAGAGAUCUAAAUUUGAAGGUGAAUUGGAGUGAUGGCUGAUGGAAUUCUUUUGCUUUUUUAUUCUUCUUUAAAUCUCUUUUCCACACUACUGCCAUUCACAUAAUUUCAUUGUUAUUAUUAUUAUUUUAGUGAGUUGUGGUUUGUAAUUUGGAUAGUUUUUGGUUACUUUUUUAGUAUUCAUUGUUCUUCUGUUAAUUAUAUUUGAAUUCUUUGUAGAUCGGAUUAGUGAUGAAUAAGAGCUUUUUCUUUUCUUUUUAUAUGUUUGAAAUCUUAGUGUUUUUGUUCAGUGUGGUUGUAAAGAGAAGUGAUUUAUGAGAUACCUUUUCUGUCGAUUCCUUCUUCAUAAUUUUAUUCUAUAAGUUGAAAUUAAAAAC